UUAAGUUCAGCGGGUAGUCCUACCUGAUUUGAGAUCAAACAUUCAAAGGGCUGUCCUCACUGAGGAGAGACGUCUAUGAGCUCCAGUGAACCUUCACUGCUGAAGGUUACCUGGUGGAAAAACCACAAGCGUAGAUAGUUAUCACACCCAUGAUACCCACCAAACACCGGUAAGCUGAUUUAUUUUAGAGGAGCCGGCUG
rnacentral:misc_RNA from 1 species